rnacentral:ncRNA from 2 species
UCCAUCGACUGGGGGUGCGGCACGUUUUAAUUUUAGUGUGUCGCUGAGAGAGUCCCUUGGAACCUGAUCCGGCUUGCACCGGCGGAGGGAAGUCGGCCGUUAAGUCC